CCUACGGGUGGCUGCAGUGAGGAAUAUUGGUCAAUGGUCGUAAGGCUGAACCAGCCAAGUAGCGUGAGGGAAGACUGCCCUAUGGGUUGUAAACCUCUUUUAUGCGGGGAUAAAGGUGUCCACGUGUGGAUGUUUGCAUGUACUUUAUGAAUAAGGAUCGGCUAACUCCGUGCCAGCAGCCGCGGUAAUACGGAGGAUCCGAGCGUUAUCCGGAUUUAUUGGGUUUAAAGGGAGCGUAGAUGGGUUGUUAAGUCAGUUGUGAAAGUUUGCGGCUCAACCGUAAAAUUGCAAUUGAUACUGGCAGUCUUGAGUACAGUUGAGGUAGGCGGAAUUCGUGGUGUAGCGGUGAAAUGCUUAGAUAUCACGAAGAACCCCGAUUGCGAAGGCAGCUUACUAAACUGUGACUGACAUUGAUGCUCGAAAGUGUGGGUAUCAAACAGGAUUAGAUACCCCUGUAGUC
rnacentral:rRNA from 1 species